rnacentral:rRNA from 1 species
UACGGAGGGUGCAAGCGUUAAUCGGAAUUACUGGGCGUAAAGCGCACGCAGGUGGCUGAGUCAGUCGAUUGUGAAAGCCCUGGGCUUAACCUGGGAAUUGCAGUCGAUACUACUCGGCUCGAGUAUGGGAGAGGGCAGUGGAAUUCCCGGUGUAGCGGUGAAAUGCGUAGAUAUCGGGAGGAACAUCAGUGGCGAAGGCGGCUGCGUGGCCCAAUACUGACACUCAGGUGCGACAGCGUGGGGAGCAAACAGG